rnacentral:rRNA from 1 species
UCCGUUCGAAGAGUUGGGGGGUCUUACCUGCCCACUGCAAAGUAAAUGGCUGCGGUAAUUUGACCGUGCUAAGGUAGCAUAAUCAAUAGUUUUCUAAUUUAAAACUGGAAUGAACGGUAUGACGGAAAGUGAGCUCUAUCAGUAGUGAGAUUUGAAUUUUACUUCUAAGUGAAAAGGCUUAGAUGAUUGUAAGGGACGAUAAGACCCUAUAAAACUUAAUAACGUUGGCUUGUCAAAGGUGUGGGGUGAAAAAUUGACAAAAUUAAAAUUUUAUUUAGUUGGGGUGACUAAGAUAUAAGUAAAUAGCUGUCUAGGUUAGACCAAUAAAAAAUACUUUGUUAUUAAAUCCACUAUUAGAGAUUUCAAACCAAGUUACUUUAGGGAUAACAGCGUAAUUUUUUCUGAGAGUCCAUAUCGAAGAAACUAGUUGCGACCUCGAUGUUGAAUUAAAAUUUUUGAUUGACGCAGGUGUUAAAAAAAUGGGUCUGUUCGACCUUUAAAAUUUUACAUGAUUUGAGUUCAGACCGGCGUGAG